CAGUCGCCACGGUAAUACGAAGGGGGCUAGCGUUGUUCGGAUUUACUGGGCGUAAAGCGCACGUAGGCGGACUUUUAAGUCAGGGGUGAAAUCCCGGGGCUCAACCCCGGAACUGCCUUUGAUACUGGAAGUCUUGAGUAUGGUAGAGGUGAGUGGAAUUCCGAGUGUAGAGGUGAAAUUCGUAGAUAUUCGGAGGAACACCAGUGGCGAAGGCGGCUCACUGGACCAUUACUGACGCUGAGGUGCGAAAGCGUGGGGAGCAAACAGGAUUAGAUACCCCUGUAGUCCCUGUCUCUUAUAC
rnacentral:rRNA from 1 species